AUUGAACGCUGGCGGCAGGCCUAACACAUGCAAGUCGAGCGGAUGAAGGGAGCUUGCUCCUGGAUUCAGCGGCGGACGGGUGAGUAAUGCCUAGGAAUCUGCCUGGUAGUGGGGGAUAACGUCCGGAAACGGGCGCUAAUACCGCAUACGUCCUGAGGGAGAAAGUGGGGGAUCUUCGGACCUCACGCUAUCAGAUGAGCCUAGGUCGGAUUAGCUAGUUGGUGGGGUAAAGGCCUACCAAGGCGACGAUCCGUAACUGGUCUGAGAGGAUGAUCAGUCACACUGGAACUGAGACACGGUCCAGACUACUACGGGAGGCAGCAGUGGGGAAUAUUGGACGAUGGGCGAAAGCCUGAUCCAGCCAUGCCGCGUGUGUGAAGAAGGUCUUCCGAUUCUAAAGGACUAUAAGUUGGGAGGAAGGGCAGUAAGUUAAUACCUUGCUGUUUUGACGUUACCAACAGAAUAGGCACGGGCUAACUUCGUG
rnacentral:rRNA from 1 species